GAUGGCAUUCAUGAUGUUAUUACUUUUUGGGGAACUGAGAUGCUGAAAUGGUUUAAUCAUCGAAGUGUUGAUAACUCCAUAUUUUUCUUUGUUGGUCGCAAUUUUCCAAAAUUGGUUGUCUGUAUUGUUCCUGGACCAGAGCCUUUCAUGGCUUUGUUGAAAUUUCCAUCAAUGGUUAUGAAAAUCGUGAAUAUCAGUCUAUUGAUCUAGAUGGACAUAUUCCAUGUUUACAAUAUUUAUUUUCUCUAACUCAAUGGUCUCUGCUGCAGAGACAUUUGAAUGAAUCAAAUCCAACUGACCAGAAUCGUGUUAAGGUUUCAGUUAGACAUGAGUCAGAUGACACCUGUUAUUCUAUAAAAAUGUGGGGGGUCCACGUAGAAUGCACCUGUCCUCCUCAAGAAGAUGAUGCUGUUGAUUAUGGGUAUUCUAUAAAAGGUUGGGGGUCGAAGAAACAGAGGACACGUUGAUGAACUCUGAAGAAAUAUGCCUCAAUCAAAAAAUCACAUUGAAACUGUUUCUCCUCGGUCGUUUCUGACCGGUUUCUUUUUGCAUUUGAUGCCAAGUUGACUAGGAUGGUUGCGGUUGAAGUCACUAGCAGGCCCCAGAUUUCCUUUUGCCUUGGAUGCGACUGUCUGAAGGUUAUGAGCUAUAAGCAUCUCAAACUUCAUGGCAUAUUGUGAACUGAAGACAAGGGCAGUCUAGCAAAUUUUGUGUGGAACCUUCAAAAAAAAUCCUUUGAUGAGCCCUCUACACUGAGGAUGAGACACAUUGUUUCCUUCAAGUUGGAGGAAAUGACAAACCUUUCAAGUACUCAAAGAAUUGCCUCUUGGCAUGCUUGUCCUCAGCAUAUUUGAUGAGAACAAGGAGGGUUUGUGCUUUACUUGGAAUAGACUCAGGUAUCGGGGGUGCUACAAAAGAUUCAAACUUCAGUUCUAUCCAGUUAAGCGUAUUGGAUGAGAAUGAACUCAGCAAUUGUAUCAAUAGAGGCCUUGAGCAUUGGUUUCAAAGCUACUUUCAGGUCUCUCUCUUUCACACUCACACUCUCAGUCUCUCUCUCAGUCUCUCAUGAAGCUCCAUAUUUUCUAUUUUACAGGGCUGCUCUAGUCAACGCUAUAUUUAUAAUGAUUGUUUUCCUAAAUGUGAAAUUCCAGAAUGGUUUUGCCAUCAAAGUGGUUCUUUAUUGAGAAUCCAGCUAAUUCCAAAUCUUUAUACUAAUUCUGACUGGAUAGGAAUUGCUCUAUUUGCUACAUUCACAAUGCACAAGCAUCCAACUCUCAUUCUUGACAAUUUGGCUACAGAAAUUUCUCAUGGCUUUUCUUGUUCUUUGAGAAGUCAAGUGACAUGGGCAGCCGGACGGUGUCAAAUAAACAUUACAUCCCUGAGUCUGAACACAACAAAUUUAUUUGGUUAAAGCAAAGUAAAUUCAUUUGGAUCAUGCAUGUACCUCAUGCUCGAUUUUCAGAUAAGUUGAAUUGUAGCAAUCUCUUGACUGCUUU